CCUGCCCCUAGAAGCCUUGCCGAUGCUUCUGCCAUGUGUGUCAGUAGGUGGCAGAGAGGAGAGAAGCUGUAUUUAUGGUCAAUGUUCUGACCUAUUUAUCACAUCUGAACGAUUAGCAGCCUACCAUG